UGCCUGUGUAAGUAACUGUCGGUACUAAUCAAAACAUUUACAAAAACCUAAUUAAGAUUAAGAGGAAAUCUUUUAAGAACUUCAAUCUUUGUUUUUCUUCUUCCCAUCCACUGUAAUCAAAAUUAAGAUUAAGAGGAAAUCUUUCUCCACAAUCAGAGAACGAAACAAAUCCUUAAAGUUAUUAAGUUUGGAUUUUGAUCUCUCACAUAUUUUGGAUUCUGCAUCUGUUGAUUCUGAUUUUUUUCCCUGUAUACGGAACUAAUCAAAUAGUUUCCGACAUGCUUCUUCUUCUUCUAAUUCAUGAUGUUUUUCUUUUUACUUUUAUUUUUCCGUUUGCUCUGAUCAACUAAAUUUCUGGGGUGUUUUCCUUCUUCCAAUUUUAGGUUUAUCAGGAAUCAACGGAAAUGCUAAUGUUUGUUUGUUUGUUUUUUUUUUUUUUUUGAGUUCUCGCCGGCUUUAUGCUGCAGUGAGGUUCCAGAUAAUGCAAUUGAGAAUCUUAUGAAAAUUAUACCCUUAAGUGAGUCAAUAAAACGCACUUCUGCUCAUUGAGGAUGGAACUCAGCCAUAAGCAUUAUGCUGGUAAAGCUUUCAGAUACCAUGGCCUAAAUUGGAUUAACCAUCUUUGUUGAACCUAUCAAAGAAAGAACGGGAUGAUCGAGCAAAAUAAUCAAAUAUAAUCACACCACCUGGUGCCUUUGGCGCGCCUAUAGGCAAUUAAAGGAUUCAAAGCUUGACCUUCCCUAUGGAAGGGCACAUGAGAACCUUCAGACCACUUGAUGCUUCUCACCUUUGAGGCAUUAUAUCUGAUGUAAACAACAUCUUCCAGCUAACUUCAAUAUGGCUUUGACAAGAAUCAGAAUUCGUGCAUCAGAUUCAAGAGAACGAUGUGCUGGAUUGGUCGAUGGUCGAGUCGGUAAGUUUUAUUAUUAAUAUGUUCUUUUUUUGUCUUUAAUUAUGUUUGUAUUUGACAAUAGUAUUGCAAAUUGUUUAGAUAAACAGUUCUUAGAAGCAUUGGCCGACGUUUGUGAUUGUUGUGAUAUUUCAAUUUCCAAUGAAUGAUUCUUAG